GUCAGCAGCCAUAUCACCCUGUAGGCUAAGACUGGUUGCCCACUGAAGCUAAGCAGGGUUGAGCCUGGCCAGGGUUGAGCCUGGUCAGUACCUGGAUGGGAGACCUCCUGGGAAAACUAGGUUGCUGUUGGAA
rnacentral:rRNA from 1 species